CGGAGAGUUUGAUCCUGGCUCAGGACGAACGCUGGCGGCGUGCUUAACACAUGCAAGUCGAACGGAAAGGCCCUGCUUUUGUGGGGUGCUCGAGUGGCGAACGGGUGAGUAACACGUGAGUAACCUGCCCUUGACUUUGGGGUAACUUCAGGAAACUGGGGCUAAUACCGGAUAGGAGCUCCUGCUGCAUGGUGGGGGUUGGAAAGUUUCGGCGGUUGGGGAUGGACUCGCGGCUUAUCAGCUUGUUGGUGGGGUAGUGGCUUACCAAGGCUUUGACGGGUAGCCGGCCUGAGAGGGUGACCGGCCACAUUGGGACUGAGAUACGGCCCAGACUCCUACGGGAGGCAGCAGUGGGGAAUAUUGCACAAUGGGCGGAAGCCUGAUGCAGCAACGCCGCGUGCGGGAUGACGGCCUUCGGGUUGUAAACCGCUUUCGCCUGUGACGAAGCGUGAGUGACGGUAAUGGGUAAAGAAGCACCGGCUAACUACGUGCCAGCAGCCGCGGUGAUACGUAGGGUGCGAGCGUUGUCCGGAUUUAUUGGGCGUAAAGGGCUCGUAGGUGGUUGAUCGCGUCGGAAGUGUAAUCUUGGGGCUUAACCCUGAGCGUGCUUUCGAUACGGGUUGACUUGAGGAAGGUAGGGGAGAAUGGAAUUCCUGGUGGAGCGGUGGAAUGCGCGGAUAUCAGGAGGAACACCAGUGGCGAAGGCGGUUCUCUGGGCCUUUCCUGACGCUGAGGAGCGAAAGCGUGGGGAGCGAACAGGCUUAGAUACCCUGGUAGUCCACGCUGUAAACGGUGGGUACUAGGUGUGGGGUCCAUUCCACGGGUUCCGUGCCGUAGCUAACGCUUUAAGUACCCCGCCUGGGGAGUACGGCCGCAAGGCUAAAACUCAAAGGAAUUGACGGGGCCCCGCACAAGCGGCGGAGCAUGCGGAUUAAUUCGAUGCAACGCGUAGAACCUUACCUGGGUUUGACAUGGAUCGGGAGUGCUCAGAGAUGGGUGUGCCUCUUUUGGGGUCGGUUCACAGGUGGUGCAUGGCUGUCGUCAGCUCGUGUCGUGAGAUGUUGGGUUAAGUCCCGCAACGAGCGCAACCCUUGUUCACUGUUGCCAGCACGUUAUGGUGGGGACUCAGUGGAGACCGCCGGGGUCAACUCGGAGGAAGGUGGGGAUGACGUCAAGUCAUCAUGCCCCUUAUGUCCAGGGCUUCACGCAUGCUACAAUGGCUGGUACAGAGAGUGGCGAGCCUGUGAGGGUGAGCGAAUCUCGGAAAGCCGGUCUCAGUUCGGAUUGGGGUCUGCAACUCGACCUCAUGAAGUCGGAGUCGCUAGUAAUCGCAGAUCAGCAACGCUGCGGUGAAUACGUUCCCGGGGCUUGUACACACCGCCCGUCAAGUCAUGAAAGUUGGUAACACCCGAAGCCGGUGGCCUAACCGUUGUGGGGGAGCCGUCGAAGGUGGGACUGGUGAUUAGGACUAAGUCGUAACCAGGUAGCCGUA
rnacentral:rRNA from 1 species